UAGGUGCUGCACCUUCUACGGGGCGGAGUUCUAGUCAGUCUGUAACUACUCUGGUUAAACCGGGUUUUUCUGAUUCUGUGUGGGAACCUCCAUCAUUCUUGGGAAUAAAGUAUUCUUGGUUUCAGUUUUCAGGACAGACCAUGUUCCUAAAGCUAGCGACAUGUCUGUAUCUGAUUCUAAACGUGGCUAGGUUUGCUUUGACUCCCGUGACACAACCAUCCUUGGAUCACUCCUUUUCAGAACCUCCAAGUCCAACACCUCCAGGUCUUUGGACAUCUGAACACCUACUCUUUCAGCACGAUUCAGACACGGCAUACGUUUGAGAAACAAAAGGGGGGUGGGGAGCCUCCUCCCGCUUUGCGAGCAUCAUUUUCGCAUUUCCAGUUCACUACUAUUUCUGAUCACAACAAAGUCGCCUCCGUUAAGCUGCAACACAACUUUGAGCAGGUAAAAUCAGGUUCUGAUCUAACAGUUAAACCAUCAGCUUCGCUCCAGUUCCAAACGGAACCCUCAGGUAAAUUCAAACAAGUUUCCCUGUGGGUUCGUAACACAAGAUACAAACAGUUUGAUAACCAAAUCGCUUAUGAGCCUGCUCCCACAGAUACGUCCAAACUCGUGUCUCCUUGGGUCCGCAAUACCAGAUUCAAAACUCUAUUCUGACCGGAUUCUUUUCCACUGACUGGUGGACCGUUACAAAUUCUCUCGUUUGUGGGAUGAAUUUUUAACAAAUGUGAUAUCCUUUGAGUUUUUUUUUCAGGUUACCUGCCUCCAGCCAGGGUCCUGUUACUAACUCACAUUUUUAGGGGUUACUAACCUACUGAGUUACAUUUUUAGAACUGAUUUACAUCUCUAUCUUUUCUUAGUGCUUUGUGUAGCAUGGUUAUAUUUGAUUACAAAUUUAAUUUUAUUUUGUUGCUAUUUCCCUUAAAGGGCCACAAGCCAAUUUGCCCUUCAUUUUCAUGAUUAUUUCCUUUAUAUAUAUGCCUUUAAUUAAUGCAGCCUGCUGAGUUACACAUAUCAGUUAGGAUAUACUUUCUUUUAUUUGUGUUUUCCCUGCAUCACGUUUUUACAUGACACGUAGAACAGGGUGCAGUACAUUUCUUCUUUAGAUAAUUCACAAAAGGCACCCACAUUUUCCCAGAGGCACCCAUAGAUAGGUUUUGAUUGAUUUCUUUGUUUUGCAUCAAAUGCUAUCUAUCGUGUGGGCUGUCUCACUUUGUCUCCUUCUCCGAGCUCGUAUGGACUACAUCCCAUCAGAGGGGCCGUCUUCACCAUCCUUAAACUGGUUUCCUGUCGCAUGGGGCUUCGGUCGUGGUUCGAGAUGGGUCGAGGUCUGCGCUGGACUUCGCCUGGACUACGCCUGGGGAAUACAUCACCUGCCCAGCUCCGUGUGGCACACGAGCUGCUUAUCCUUUGCAUACCUUUGCAUUAUUGCUGAUGAAAUUAACUGCUAUUGGCAUAGCUCAGCUUUCAAGAUUUCCUAAGUGGAUUACUUUACAAUGAUUGCAACAGUUUUGGCCUUAAUCAUCUGAUCAGGAUAGACUCCCUUCUACACGAGACCUGUGGAGACGCUUCAUCGUUCCUGCCUUCAUCUGGGAUGUCUACCUUCACGAGUACAUCACGUUAUUGUGUUUGUAACGGCAGGUGGCCUGUGCUUGACCACCAUGUCGUCACAAAAAGGGGGGGUAUGUAACGUGAGGAAAUAUGGGUUUUCUAUCACAAAGGUGGUGUUGGACUCAGCUGUGUCAAAGCUGGGUCGCUGAGAACUUUCACCCACAGAUUAAGACCUGAACGCCAGCGAGUCUGGGAGGAAACCAUAACAUCUGCCACCUGCAGUCUACCAGAAGAUGUGUUUACAUGAGUUGUACCCAGACCAAGUCAAAACAUAAAGUUUAAACUUCUUUUUCUUGAUUUUAAUGUUAAAAUAACCAUUAUCAUUUUGCUCAUUAUAAAUGUGAUUAAUCAAA